AGCCGUGUGGUGGGUACAGAGCGAACUAUUCUUUCGCCUUUUAUUAAAGAAUAUCGUGUGCUCUCUGCUCAAAGUGGCAUACGCCAAUUUUUGGAAGGGUAUUCCUUGCUUAAUAUCC